ACUCCUACGGGAGGCAGCAGUGGGGAAUAUUGCACAAUGGGGGAAACCCUGAUGCAGCCAUGCCGCGUGUGUGAAGAAGGCCUUCGGGUUGUAAAGCACUUUCAGUAGGGAGGAAGGUAGUGUAGUUAACACCUGCACUAUUUGACGUUACCUACAGAAGAAGCACCGGCUAACUCCGUGCCAGCAGCCGCGGUAAUACGGAGGGUGCGAGCGUUAAUCGGAAUUACUGGGCGUAAAGCGCAUGCAGGCGGCCUGUUAAGUCAGAUGUGAAAGCCCGGGGCUUAACCUCGGAAUUGCAUUUGAAACUGGCAGGCUAGAGUCUUGUAGAGGGGGGUAGAAUUUCAGGUGUAGCGGUGAAAUGCGUAGAGAUCUGAAGGAAUACCAGUGGCGAAGGCGGCCCCCUGGACAAAGACUGACGCUCAGAUGCGAAAGCGUGGGGAGCAAACAGGAUUAGAUACCCUGGUAGGAUAGCGUAGUCGUGGGGACAAGGCACACAGGGGGAUA
rnacentral:rRNA from 1 species